GCCUUGGUGGUGGAAUGGUAGACACGAAAGACUUAAAAUCUUUUGACAGCAAUGUCGUGCGGGUUCGAGUCCCGCCUGAGGCA
rnacentral:tRNA from 1 species